CGCAAUUGGUCAAAUGGGACCUCGUGGGAACUUUAUAUUGGCAGUGGUAAUGCUUAAAGACCAUCCUCAACCAUUAUUGAGUUUUUAUUAUGUUUCCCAAAAAUGUGCUAGAAAUGAAAUUCUGUUGUUAUUGUGGCUUAUGCUGCUCAUCCACAAUUGGUCAAAUGGGACCUGGUGGGAAUUUUAUAUUGGCAGUUGUAAUGCUUAAAGACCAUCCUCAACCAUUAUUGACUUUUUAUUUUUCCCCAAAAAUAUAUGGGGGAAAUGAAAUUCUGUUGUUAUUGUGGCUUAUGCUGCUGACAACUGGUAGGAAACAACAUGCAUGUUUCCUAUAGUGCAUGAACUGAUGCAAACUUCUCGCAUAUGCAAAUUAUACUGAUACCUAUGUUAAUGGAUAUCUAUUUGCACCCAUUAACAUGAAAAGCCACCAAGUAGGAACCUUUUCAUAUUUAGAGCUACCCAUUAGGCAAACUUGCAGCAUCUGUACUAAAUGUAUUCUUUCUUAUACUUGCUUUUAUCUAUAGAGCAUUUCUUUUUAGUUGAUUACAAAUUGACCUACAUCAGCUUCUUUGUUC
rnacentral:lncRNA from 1 species